ensembl:snoRNA
ACCUCUCCUCGAGGCUUCGCAUGUGCGGCUCCUGUGUCGCAUGAGCAUCAGUAGGAGGCAGAGAGGACAGAGACUAUGUGCACGCUCAGUAGUCUGACCUGUGAGCAUCUGAAUAAUUAGUAGCUAAAAUU